rnacentral:rRNA from 1 species
AGCGAACGCUGGCGGCAGGCUUAACACAUGCAAGUCGAGCGGGCAUCCUUGUGGUGUCAGCGGCAGACGGGUGAGUAACGCGUGGGAACGUGCCCUUCGGUUCGGAAUAACUCAGGGAAACUUGAGCUAAUACCGGAUACGUGCGAGAGCAGAAAGGUUUAUCUGCCGAAGGAUCGGCCGGCGUCUGAUUAGCUAGUUGGUGAGGUUACGGCUCACCAAGGCGACGAUCAGUAGCUGGUCUGAGAGGAUGAUCAGCCACACUGGGACUGAGACGCGGCCCAGACUCCUACGGGAGGCAGCAGUGGGGAAUAUUGGACAAUGGGGGCAACCCUGAUCCAGCCAUGCCGGGUGAGUGAUGACGGCCUUAGGGUUGUAAAGCUCUUUUCUCCGGGACGAUAAUGACGGUACCGGAGGAAUAAGCCCCGGCUAACUUCGUG